AUGGCGGGACGAUCUGUCGCGGCGCCCCCAGGGCGCUGAGGAAAGUCCGCACAGGAGAGGGCACCCGUCUGCGGAAAGCGCAGUGGGGAGUAAUCUUCAGGUACUCGUAACAGAAAACAACCGCAACGGGAGGCCGCAAGGCCGAUAGUACCGUUGUAAGGGUGAAAACGCGGGGUAAGAGCCCACGACGCUGUCUGGCGACAGGCGGCGGGUACGGUAUCCGGGCCUGCAAGACCAAAUAUACCGGCAGAUGAGGGCGGCCCGCCCGAUGCCGGGGGGUAGGUUGCGAAGAUAAAUGGCAGAUUCAAAAACAGAAAGCGGCUUACGGCCCCACCAUUCCC
rnacentral:RNase_P_RNA from 1 species